GAGCGGGUAAGAGCGUGAAAGGACAGGCAUUACGCCUGUGUUGACAUCGCAGGGGUCACAAGUUCAAUCCUUGUACCGCCCACCA
rnacentral:tRNA from 1 species